rnacentral:rRNA from 1 species
UACGGGGGGGUGCGAGCGUUGUCCGGAAUCACUGGGCGUAAAGGGCGCGUAGGUGGUUUGAUAAGGGUGUGGUGAAAGUCCGGGGCUCAACCCCGGAUCUGCCGUGCCGACUGUCAAACUCGAGGACUGUAGAGGCAGACGGAAUUCCGGGUGUAGCGGUGGAAUGCGUAGAGAUCCGGAGGAGACCGGUGGCGAAGGCGGUCUGCUGGGCAGUUUCUGACACUGAGGCGCGACAGCGUGGGGAGCAAACGGG